GUGCCCCAUUUCACUUUGCCAUUCAGACAGCCCAAGUGUCUUGAAUGGUCAUUCAGGUGGGGUAUAUUGAAGUCCUUUUUUCAAAACGCAAGCGAACAAGUUGUUUGGCUUGGAUCCUGUGAGAGGACACAUCU
ensembl:snoRNA